AACGCAUUAAGUGUUCCGCCUGGGGAGUACGGCCGCAAGGCUAAAACUCAAAGGAAUUGACGGGGCCCCGCACAAGCGGCGGAGCAUGCGGCUUAAUUCGAUGCAACCCGAAGAACCUUACCUGGGUUUGACAUGGUGGGUCUAGCUGUGGAAACACAGUGUGCUUAGGCGCUCAUCACAGGUGGUGCAUGGCUGUCGUCAGCUCGUGUCGUGAGAUGUUGGGUUAAGUCCCGCAACGAGCGCAACCCUUGUCCUAUGUUGCCAGCACGUAAUGGUGGGGACUCAUGGGAGACUGCCGGGGACAACUCGGAGGAAGGCGAGGACGAUGUCAAGUCAUCAUGCCCCUUAUAUCCAGGGCUGCACGCAUGCUACAAUGGGCGGUACAGUGGGCCGCGAUCUCGCAAGAGUGAGCCAAUCCCUCAAAGCCGUCCCCAGUUCGGAUUGAAGUCUGCAACUCGACUUCAUGAAGCCGGAGUCGCUAGUAAUCGUGGAUCAGCUAUGCCACGGUGAAUACGUUCUCGGGGCUUGUACACACCGCCCGUCACAUCACGGAAGUCGGUAACACCCGAAGUCAGUGGCCUACCUCG
rnacentral:rRNA from 1 species